CUUCGCUUAAAAUAUUAGUACUGAUACUUUGUUUACUGAAUGCUGCUUGAUGUACAUGCCAGGAAUUUGGCAUUUAAUACUGAAAUUCCUCAUGGGGUAAAAACUAAUUUUACUUUCAUUGAUGUUUCGAGUAACUCGAAUGAAAUCGUCUUGUAAGAGUUUAAAAUGGGAAUUCACUAACUGCAACUUCAAAUUCAACUAGUUAUGAAUCGUCGAUGCAAUCCAUGUAUGAAGAUGAAAGAUCACUUGAAGACCGUCACGGAAAUCUCGGGUGCUACUUCAAGUUGUCCCAAAGGAAUCCAUUACUAUUUAGUCUACCGAAAUUAAAUGGGUCCUAUGUGCUGAUGACGUUUCAAGGUUUAUACAACUCAAGAGGACACUUUCUGUCAAAUCUGACUGACGAAUACCUGGAUCAUUUUUCAUUCAAACACGCAAAAAAACUUGGUUAAAUCAAAAGGGUGAUAUAUAAUUGAGUGAAUUGUAAUCGGUAAUGUACCAGUUAUAUUUCACAGCCAUUAAAUUUCGAUCUAUGGAAUAAAUGAUCAUUUUAACUGCUGAAAUUAACUUUGAACCUAUAUAUUAUAAAGGGAACUUCAUUAAUCAUAAAUUAAUAAAAUUAAAUUUAAAAUUUCUUUAAAGCUACUUCAAAUUUUCUGUCCCAAGUUGUAAUCAGCUUCAAACGAAACGGACGUAACCAUUGAAAAUGAUAUCUAUAACUAAUAAUUGUAUUUUUAAUGUACAUGUUCGAUUCU